GUUCAUCAGCAGGGACGUGGCUCUACAGGCAUUACCAGGCACACCUGACAUCCAUUUACAAUCAAGCUCAGUACAAGAAACCUGGCUCUCCACUCACUCAUCGCCCGGCUGUUUUCCGCUCUCCAUGUGCACCUGCCAGAACUGAGUCUGCCUUCCUGCUGAUCCUGUGCCACUGCCUGCCACAAACUGCUCACCACCAGACCCCACCUGCUUUCACCGGGAUUGUCUCCUCACCACCUUGAUUAACUCUCUCUUACUUGAAAGUACUGCGAUAAAAUAAAACUUCUAACUACAA